AGUGAACGCUGGCGGUAGGCCUAACACAUGCAAGUCGAACGGCAGCACAGUAAGAGCUUGCUCUUACGGGUGGCGAGUGGCGGACGGGUGAGGAAUACAUCGGAAUCUACUUUUUCGUGGGGGAUAACGUAGGGAAACUUACGCUAAUACCGCAUACGACCUACGGGUGAAAGCAGGGGAUCUUCGGACCUUGCGCGAUUGAAUGAGCCGAUGUCGGAUUAGCUAGUUGGCGGGGUAAAGGCCCACCAAGGCGACGAUCCGUAGCUGGUCUGAGAGGAUGAUCAGCCACACUGGAACUGAGACACGGUCCAGACUCCUACGGGAAGCAGCAGUGGGGAAUAUUGUACAAUGGGCGCAAGCCUGAUCCAGCCAUACCGCGUGGGUUAAGAAGGCCUUCGGGUUGUAAAGCCCUUAUGUUGGGAAAGAAAAGCAGCAGGUUAAUACCCCGCUGUUCUGACGGUACCCAAAGAAUAAGCACCGGCUAACUUCGUG
rnacentral:rRNA from 1 species